rnacentral:lncRNA from 1 species
CUGGAUUCUGAAGGAUACAUAGGAGAGCUUUGGGCUGACAAGAGGAGAAGGAAAAAUCUACCCGUGGAUAGAAGAAGGGUCAUGCCAGCCACCAGAGGGAAGCCUGGAGACAGAAGAUGCCCUGCCAGGGGGUUGGCCUUGCAGGGUGCGCGGGGUCACGUGGGAGACACUGUGGAGGGUACCUCAGAGGCUGGCCUUUGCUAACGGAUAGCCUUGUGGCAGCGAAGGCAAGAUGCCUGCUUUGUUGACUUUCUCCCAAAUUUCUGUGUCCAGAGGAAACUGUACACUACCACUCCCCUGUAGUUGUUCCUGAUUCUUGGAGUGCUGAGGAGGGCAUUUUGAUUGGAGUCUGGAUGGGGAAUUUAAGGUCAAUACAGUAUGUGUACACCCAUCGCCCUCUGUGUGGAGGAAGUGCUCCAUGCUUCAGUGGUUAAGAGCACUUGCUGCUCUGGCAGAGGACCAGCGUGAUGUUCCCAGCACCCACAUCCGGCAAUUCACAAUUGCAUGUAAUUCCGACCGCUAGUCAUUCUACUUUCUCUUCUGGCCUCCCUGGGUACCUACAUGGGCCUGUAGACUGACUCUCUCUCUCUCUCUCUCUCUCUCUCUCUCUCUCUCUCUCUCUCUCACACACACACACACACACACACACUGAAAUAAACCUUUAAGGGUUAAAAAAAAAACCCAAGUGUUUUGUGUCUUAGGAACAUGUGUCACCAUGUUCCUGCUCUGAUGAGAAGCCCCACUUGCAGUGACUGUCACGACAGCUCCCGUAGAUGGCGGCCUAUAAUGGAUUGGAUUCCAUUAUAUAAUGUAGUGGAUUACAUUAUAACUUGGAUUAUCUUUGGUCACAACUAAGUUGUAUAAAACACCAGUAAAAAGUUGCUAGUUUUAGGAGGUCCUUGUGGAAAAGGUGUUACUAUUGUGCUUUAGAUCCUAUGGAAAUAUGAGCUAGUUUCUGCUUAAUCUCUGAAGAGAGUGCUUACAUGUGGGGUUCAUUUCCAACUCAAUAGAAAAAUUAAGGGUUUUUGUUGUUGUUUUGGAAAUACAAAAGGUUCUUUUCUAUGUGACAAGGUGAUCUAUAAUGACUUUUCUCCAGCUUCAUAAAAGUGGUGAUAACAGGCCACAACGUCUCCAUUCUCCUUGGUUGUAGUCUUGGUUCCUCCAUACUUCAUUUAGGCUUUCACAUCACUGUACAAGAGUUUCUGUCAAAACUCAGUGUAUAAGAUACCACGCGCCCAACUUCCCCCUGUUACACAGAGGGCAGUGCAGGUGCUUCCAUUAAAAGACAGAGAAUCU